rnacentral:rRNA from 1 species
UGGCUCAGGAUGAACGCUGGCGGCGUGCUUAACACAUGCAAGUCGAACGCACCUUCGGGUGAGUGGCGGACGGGUGAGUAACGCGUGGGAACCUGCCCUCAGGAGGGGGAUAACGGCUGGAAACGGCCGCUAAUACCCCAUAUGCCGAGAGGUGAAAUGAAAUUCGCCUGAGGAUGGGCCCGCGUCUGAUUAGCUAGUUGGUGGGGUAAGAGCCUACCAAGGCGACGAUCAGUAGCUGGUCUGAGAGGAUGAUCAGCCACACUGGGACUGAGACACGGCCCAGACUCCUACGGGAGGCAGCAGUGGGGAAUUUUCCGCAAUGGGCGAAAGCCUGACGGAGCAACGCCGCGUGAGGGAUGAAGGCCUCUGGGCUGUAAACCUCUUUUCUCAAGGAAGAAGAACUGACGGUACUUGAGGAAUAAGCCACGGCUAAUUCCGUGCCAGCAGCCGCGGUAAUACGGGAGUGGCAAGCGUUAUCCGGAAUUAUUGGGCGUAAAGCGUCCGCAGGUGGCCUUGUAAGUCUGUCGUUAAAGCGUGGAGCUUAACUCCAUUUCGGCGAUGGAAACUACAAGGCUAGAGUGUGGUAGGGGCAGAGGGAAUUCCCGGUGUAGCGGUGAAAUGCGUAGAUAUCGGGAAGAACACCAGUGGCGAAGGCGCUCUGCUGGGCCAUCACUGACACUCAUGGACGAAAGCCAGGGGAGCGAAAGGGAUUAGAUACCCCUGUAGUCCUGGCCGUAAACGAUGAACACUAGGUGUCGGGGGAAUCGACCCCCUCGGUGUCGUAGCCAACGCGUUAAGUGUUCCGCCUGGGGAGUACGCACGCAAGUGUGAAACUCAAAGGAAUUGACGGGGGCCCGCACAAGCGGUGGAGUAUGUGGUUUAAUUCGAUGCAACGCGAAGAACCUUACCAGGGUUUGACAUCCUGCGAAUCCCUUGGAAACGAGGGAGUGCCUUCGGGAGCGCAGAGACAGGUGGUGCAUGGCUGUCGUCAGCUCGUGUCGUGAGAUGUUGGGUUAAGUCCCGCAACGAGCGCAACCCACGUCGUUAGUUGCCAGCAUUCAGUUGGGCACUCUAGCGAGACCGCCGGUGAUAAACCGGAGGAAGGUGUGGAUGACGUCAAGUCAUCAUGCCCCUUACAUCCUGGGCUACACACGUACUACAAUGCUACGGACAAAGGGCAGCGAGCUCGCGAGAGUAAGCAAAUCCCAUAAACCGUGGCUCAGUUCAGAUCGUAGGCUGCAACUCGCCUACGUGAAGGAGGAAUCGCUAGUAAUCGCAGGUCAGCAUACUGCGGUGAAUACGUUCCCGGGCCUUGUACACACCGCCCGUCACACCAUGGAAGUUGGCCACGCCCGAAGUCGUUACUCCAACCCUUGUGGAGGAGGACGCCGAAGGUGGGGCUGAUGACUGGGGUGAAGUCGUAACAAGGUAGCCGUACCGGAAGGUGCGGCUGGAUCACCUCCUAA